GACGAACGCUGGCGGCGUGCUUAAUACAUGCAAGUCAACUUGACUUUAGAUAGCAAUAUCGAAAAGUAGGGUGGCGCACGGGUGCGUAACGCGUAGGUAAUCUGCCCUGAGGUCUGACAUAACCCGUCGAAAGGCGGGCUAACAUCAGAUGAUAUAUAAUCACGACAUCGUGGAAAUAUCAAAUCUUCGGAGCCUUGGGAUGAGCCUGCGUCUGAUUAGGUAGUUGGCGGAGUAAUAGCCCACCAAGCCUACGAUCAGUAGCUGGUCUGAGAGGAUGAUCAGCCACACUGGAACUGAGACACGGUCCAGACUCCUACGGGAGGCAGCAGUAAGGAAUAUUGUUCAAUGGGGAAACCCUGAAGCAGCAACGCCGCGUGAAGGAUGAAAUACUUUUGUAAUGUAAACUUCUGUAAGAUGGGAAAAAUAUUCUCCUCGGUAGAAUUGAUUGUACCAUCAGAGUAAGCCCCGGCUAACUACGUGCCAGCAGCCG
rnacentral:rRNA from 1 species